GUAUGUUUUAGAUUUUAAAGUCAAGUGAUGGUAUGAAGCUUUGAGUCAAUGCUACGUAACGUAAUUUUGUAGUGGAAGCAGAAAAUUCAGAGUACUGUAUUAAAAACUAUGUUCAGAACACUCUUGGCUUGCUGCCACCUAGAGACCAAAAUAAGUAAUGCGGUAGAUUUCCAUUGGAGACCUUUCGUUUUCUCUGGUCUGUAAGUGGCCACAACUUGGCACAGUAACAGCUUCUAUAUGCGUUCAAGGAUAACUGAUGGGCUUUUAAUAUUGGAUAUUAAAGAAGCAGCAAGUCAUUACUGGGAGCCAGGCUGUGAUGGGCUGGCGAGCCAAUCCUUUUGGGUUUCAGGAGUAUAAUGGUCUCUUGGUGAUAAGAGGGCAUGGCCCAAUUUCUUCCACAGUGGAUGAUGUAAUGCUGUCAAGUAAAACAAAAAUUAUUGUGGAUGGAAUGAGGUAAUUAAAAGAAAAACCAUGCCCAGGCAUCAUAUGGUUCUUUUGAGUCAGAUGAUUUCAAACGCACAUUUUUACAGCUACACUAUGCACUUCACCUCUGUCUUGAUAGUUGGCCUUGUACUUCCUUCAUUCUGGCAUGUUGUGGCUGUUUUCAUUGGUGAGUGAAUUGAUGCCACCUGAUCACUACUUUUCUGUUUCAACCUCUCUCUCACUUCAUUUAAUUGUAACUUUACAAAUUUACAAAUAUGACCUAUCACCCAACAAAAUCACCCAUCGCUUAACAUAAUACAAUAACUAAAAUGUUAUAUGAUUUCUGUGUCCUUCUUAGAUUUUUAAUAUAUAUAUUUAAUUUAUAUCCUGCCCUUCCUCUCAAAGGAGAUCAGGGAGGCAAACGACAAGUGAUAGAACAGUAAAAACAUCUUUAAAGAAUCUUUUUUUAAAAAAAUCCAAUCCAGAUGCAACAAGUUUUCUUCUCAGUGUGAUUAUAUGUUUGACCCACUCUUCAUAUAUUUUCUCUUUUGUUGAUUCCCUAGUUGUACAUGUGCUGUUGGGAAUGAUCUUCCCACAAGAGGGGAGGAGCUAUAUUUUUUAAACUGACCCUUGGCUAAUUUAGCUUUUGUGCUAUUUCCCCCCCCACAAAUGCCAGGAACUUCCCUCAGUGAUCCGAAGAGGCACUUUUUACAACUCUCUAGUAAAAAUAUUUUAAAAUAAAUUUAUAAAAUGUAGAUGGGUAGGGAGAAGGAGAAACAAAUGUAAAGACAAUGCCAUUUGGAAAGGGUUAACGACUGAGAAUUCAUCCCUAAAGAUAAGGGGCAAACCAUACAGUCAGGAAAUAUUUGGAACAGCCUAUACAAGUCCAGUAUCACAUUCAUGAUGACCCAAAAUCAUAGAAGUAAUUAUUGUGCAAAACUAAUGGGACUUAACCCCCACUGGGCAGGCAUACCGGUUCCGCCAUACAGUGGUACCUUGGGUUAAGAACUUAAUUCGUUCCGGAGGUCCGUUCUUAACCUGAAACUGUUCUUAACCUGAAGCACCACUUUAGGUAAUGGGGCCUCCCGCUGCACCGCCACACGAUUUCUGUUCUCACCCUGAAGCAAAGUUCUUAACCCGAGGUACUAUUUCUGGGUUAGCAGAGUCUGUAACCUGAAGCGUCUGUAACCUAAAGCGUCUGUAACCCAAGGUACCACUGUAUUACCGCCAUCUCCCCCCCCCCGAGUUGUAGUGGCCUGCAAUUGGUCAGAAGAGGGAGCAAAUAAUUUCUAGCCAUAGUGCAGUUGUCUGCUCUUUACUCUGCUACUAAUGCUAUUCCAUGUCUAUGUGGCCUUCUGUUUUUCUGCCAGGGUCAAAGUUGUAGAGAAUAAUGUUAGACUCGGGUGAAAUCAAUUAUAUAUGCAUAUUUAUGCUGGCAAUAAUAAAAAAAUAAUCUCUUGAUUACAAGGUCUCGUUGUAAUCUGUACACCUGUACAAAAUAUGGUUCUCCUUGAAUUCUCUAAAAUGUUUAUCCAUCCUCUUCUUUAGACAUCAGUACCAAUAAUAAAUGUUUUCUUGCAAGCUAGACAGCUUUCAGUCUCUGUGCAUAUCUUUCCAUUUCUGCUAUAGAGACACAGUUCACACGUAUCCUUAAGGCAAUAGACCAAGAUGACAAAAGGUGAAAAAAAAUAAGUCAGGCAACAAUUAAAAAACAACACGUGCCCACUCAAAACAAGCACAAAAAUACAAUAAUGAAUAUAUAUAUAUAUAUAUCCCAAGACAAGCUGUUCAGAGCAUAAAAAUAUCUCUCAUGUACUUUCUCCAAACUAGCCCUGCAAAUCCAUCAGCAUCAAGUACGAAGUGAAAAGGCAAUUACCGAGAACCCAAGAAAAAAACUUCACUAAGCACGAGCAACUCCAGAGGCCUCCUCACUCUGCCCGACUAGAAUUAAAGGAUCUAGGGGUAGCCAAUGCAGUGCCCUCUAUAUGCUGGUGGACUGAAAGUCCCACCAGCCCCAGCCGGCAUGGGCAAUGGUCAGGGACAGCGCAAGUUGUAGUUCAGCAGCAUCUGGAGGGCACCAUGUUGGGUACUCCUGGGUUACAUCUACAUGGGGGAAGCGCCAUGGAGAAGGGAGGAACAGAAGGAAGGUAAGAAUGAAAAGUGGGCUGGAGGAAUUUGGUAAGUUAAUGAAUUGUGGGGUGAGAAUGUGACAUGACUUCUGAGACCAGUGCAAUGAGUUAACCAGAGGCAGUUUGCAAGAAACAUUUGAGUUGUAUUGUAUUGUAUUCCCCGCCCCCCAGUUUUCCAGUUUGUAGUUACAUAUUCAGUGUGCAUCUUUUGUAUAAUUUUAAGUUUUGAGUCAAGUUCCGGUUUAGAUUGUUUCUUUCAGGCUAUGUUCAGUUUCUAUCUGCUGCUUGCUUCGCUUUUUUGUCAUUUAGAGUGCUUGGUACAUUUUGGUGGUUUCUCUGAUCUGGUGUGGGUUGUGGCUUGGGCACUCUUGUGUCAGUUCUGACAGGAUGUCAUGAAGAAUUUCACUAAAGCCAAGGAACACUAUAGUGUUGAUGUAGUACAUCAAUAUAUUGUGUUUUGGGUCUAAGGGAGAAUAACAAGUGCUAUCUCAUGCCAGAAGCUUAACUUUGGAGAUAGAAGGAUUAGUGCAUUUGUAGUUGGGUUUUAACAUUAAUCUUGAAAAUAAAAAAUUGUUUUGCUUUCCACAACCCCAUGCAUUUAUUUGUGCAAAGGAACUAUAACAUUAUACUGGACUGCCCAGUUAAUUCAACACAAAUCUCACUGACAGCAAAAGUUUGUGGCUGGUAUGUUGGAAGUGAAGGUUCAGAUUUCAUUGGAUAAAUAUCAAGGUGGGAUCAGGAAAAGUGUGGGGAAAGUGUCUGCAUUUUGGGGGCACAAGCUGCUGUUGGAUUACGGUGACUGAUGUUAGUAUUUGUAAUGUAAUUUCAUUGGGAAUGUAUUUCACAAAGAACAGAUGGCGCUGAAUAAAGGAGGUGGCAGUUGGUAGUUGACAACUGGCAGUUGGAAAUUACCGGUAACAGUUGGGAGUUGGUUGGUUAUACUGUUAGUUCUAUCUUGACUGCAAAGGUGAGAGGUAUGGGGACUUCAUGCAGACGCUGUCUGGAGGAGUUUAUAAAUAAUACUUGUUUAAAUGUUGCCAGCCUGACAAGUGGGAAGAUUUAUCUUCAACUAUUUAUGUGAGGCAUAUUUUUAAAAAAAUCACAGAUAGCCAACAAUUGAUUCUGUGACGCACAUUAACCUACUGAAGUGUGCUUGUUCUGGCUGCAGCUCUCAAAUACAGUACCGACUAUCAGCUUAAGGAAACCUGAAAGCUUUAUUCAAGUAGUCAGCAUGUGGUCUAAGCAUUAGCCCCACAGUACAGGAUACAUGAUUCAUAAGUCUACAGCAGAGCUCUAAGACAUAUGACUAAGAAGUAGCUAUAGAUGUUGUCUCAACACCUGACAUGUCCCUCCCACUCCACUUUUAACUGAGAUGGGUGGGACCAGUCAUUCAUGUGAUUCUCAUCCCAAGUGAGAAGACUGUGCUUUCAAGUGUGAACUUCUAUUGGGGUGGGGUGGGGUGGCUGGGUCUGUUUACACCAGUGCAAUCCUUGGUGCCAGGACCUUGAUCCAACCCUCUAACUCUCCCUCUACUUAGACCGGCCAUGCUGGUUUGCCAGCCACCUCUUUGGUUACCAUGGAAAUAUCACGGGGGGGGGGGUGUGUCAGAGCGGAGACUGACUCAGGCGCUUCCCUUCCCCUUCUGGAUGGUCUGGCAGUACCGCAACAGAUCCCUUCCCCAAAUCCUUGCUCAAGCUCUUCUCACCUCCGGUUCCUCCUUCUCCUCCACUGGCAGAUCUUGCCCUUCCUUUGGGAUUACUUAUUUUUUUAACUUCCCAUCAGCUGCCAGAACCAUGGGAUAUUUUCAUUGUUUCGAAGCUAUCAGCGUUGCUUGUUUCUGAGCUGUGACAAUUAGGAAAGUAAAUGGGGUAGGCUGCAGGAGAUAAGGUGUCACGGAAAUGAUCGCAGUAUUAAAAAAUCUGGUAUUAAAAAAUCCAUGCAAGCCACUGUGGAAAUAUAAAUCUAUUGAAUCAUUGCAAAGUUUAAUUCCUUUGAAAACUGGUUCCAAUCAGAGAAUCAGAUUUCUUUAGAUGGGUAUGCCUAACAAGAUCUGCUUCUGCCAUCAACUCUCCAUCAGGGUAACAUAAAUUGGCCUGCCAGUUAUAUCAGAAUAUCUUGCUAUGAUGUUUCUAAGAAUAUUUAUAAACUUCUGGAAUCUCCCAAACCAAAAUGGGCAGUUUCUUUGGAAGAGUUCAAUGUAGCAUAUUUUCUUAAGAAUCAUUUUGUAGCCGAAGUGAUUCCCCCCCCCCCCCCGGCAAAGAAAUAGUGUUGUUUUCAGAAUAAUGGGCCAUAUUUUGUCAGAAAAAUAGAUAACGGUGAACUGCCAUCUAGCUCAUUAAUGUUGGCAUGGUCUCCAGGUCAUACGACAGGAGAUACCAUAUCUGGAAAUACCAAGGUAUGAAUUUGGAACAGUGUUCUCUAAGCUACUAACGUGAGUUUGACCAAACUGCGGGAGGCAGUGGAAGACAGGAGUGCCUGGCAUGCUCUGGUCCAUGGGGUCAUGAAGAGUCGGACACAACUAAACGACUAAAUAGCAACAACAUGUGAAGCAUAUGCUGUGAAUAUGAGCUACAGUCCUUCCACUUAAAGCCAUAAUUGUUACCCUAUAUAUAUAUUCAUAGAAUCAUAGAGUUGGAAGGGACCACAGGGGUCAUAUACUCCAACCCGCUGCAAUGCAGGAAUCUUUUGCCCAAAAAUAGAAGGUUGCUGCCCUUCACUUACCAGACACAAAACAAAGUAAGUUGGAAGCUUUUCCCAUAAUUGGUACAGACAUCACAUCACUUUAGGCACACUGGCUUGUAUCCAAUGCAGCACCAAGCUAGCAUCCUAUUCGUAUAAGGAUUUAUGCUUGCACAAUGAGACUCGCCUUCCUCUCCUUCCCCACAGUAAAAGGUAAAGGUAAAGGGGCCCCUGACCAUUAGGUCCAGUCGUGACCGACUCUGGGGUUGCGGCACUCAUCUCGCUUUAUUGGCCGAGGGAGCCGGCGUACAGCUUCCAGGUCAUGUGGCCAGCAUGACUAAGCCACUUCUGGCGAACCAGAGCAGCACACGGAAAUGCCGUUUACCUUCCUGCCGGAAGGUAUUUAUCUACUUGCACUUUGACAUGCUUUCGAACUGCUAGGUUGGCAGGAGCAGGGACCAAGCAACAGGAGCUCACCCCGUCACGGGGAUUUGAACCGCCGACCUUCUGAUCGGCAAGUCCUAGGCUAGGUUUAACCCACAGCACCACCCGCGUCCCUCUCCUUCCCCACAUGCAUCCCCUAAAUCUACUCUGGGGCUUCUGUUUUCUUUGGAAGGUCCUAGUGAAUCUCCUCAUUCAACUUGUCCAGUACUGGUUUCUUUCCCUAUACAGUAUUCCCCUGGUAUACUUGGUUCCAUGUUUAUUUCUUAGUUUGUAAAACAGCGUGCUCUAGAUGUGAUUGCAAGCGUGGGUUUCUGCAGAAGAUUCAGGACAGACAAAAGAAAGCAUUUCUUCACCCAGCACACAGUUAAACUGUGAGGAUUGCUACUGUAAGAGGUAGUGACAGCCACCAAAUUGGGUGGUUUUAAAAGGGGGUUAGCUAAAUUCAUGAAGGAUACAGCUAUACUGUAUAAGUGUACAGUGGUACCUCAGGUUACAGACGCUUCAGGUUACAGACGCUUCAGGUUACAGACUCCGCUAACCUAGAAAUAGUACCUCAGGUUAAGAACUUUGCUUCAGGAUGAGAACAGAAAUCGCGCAGUGGUGGCGCGGUGGCAGUGCGGUGGCAGCGGAAGGUCCCAUUAGCGAAAGUGGUACCUCAGGUUAAGAACAGUACCAGGUUAAGAACGGACCUCCGGAACGAAUUAAGUUCUUAACCCGAGGUACCACUGUAUAUGGUUCUAACCAUGAUGUGAUCCACCUCCACUGUCAAAAGCAGUAUGCUUCUGAAUACCAUUUACUACAGUUCAGGAGAAUGUCGUUACACUCAGAUUCUACUAGCGGGGUUCCCAUGAACACAUGGCUGAUCACCGUGAAAACAAAAUCCUGGACUAGAUGGGUCUUUGUCCUGAUCCUGUGGGACUCUUUUUUCUGUUCUUAUGUGAACCCACACCCUGGGAUAGCUCAGACGGUAGAGCAUGAUACCGUUAAUCUCAAGGUCAUGGGUUCGAGCCCCACAUUGGGCACAAUAUUCCUGCAUUGCAGGGGGUUGGACUAGAUGAUCCUUGUGGUCCCUUCCAACUCUACAGUUCUAUGAGCUUGCAUUGUUCAUAGAAUCUUCCACCUUGAAAACUUCCACACGUUUCACUAACUGAAGUUGGAGAAUAAAAAGUAUCCCUUUAUAUAUUGUCUCUCCAUUUUCCUGGGAUUUUUAAAAUAUAUAUACAGUGGUACCUCGGGUUAAGUACUUAAUUCGUUUCAGAGGUCCGUUCUUAACCUGAAACUGUUCUUAACCUGAAGCACCACUUUAGCUAAUGGGGCCUCCUGCUGCUGCCGCGCAGCCAGAGCACGAUUUCUGUUCUCAUCCUGAAGCAAAGUUCUUAACCCGAGGUACUAUUUCUGGGUUAGCAGAGUCUGUAACCUGAAGCAUAUGUAACCUGAAGUGUAUGUAACCCGAGGUACCACUGUAUAUAGAUAUAUAUAAAACCUUCAACAAACAAUUUUCAUUAAAACGUACACUGCCGCCUGAGACUUAUGAAUGACCCUGCCAGGCCAAGCUGUCAACAGAAUGGCAAUUUAUAUUAUUACAUCUGUUCAGCUAGAAUACAUUGCAGCAGAGUGUCUCAGCAAGUUGUAUGGGAGACUGGUCAGCCAGUGACAGCAAAGCCCUCUUGAUCCUGGGCCAGUCGCUUAAUGAGACAGACCAUCCGAAGCCAAGCUCCUGUUUCAUAUCCUCCCCUCCUUUCUCCAAUGACCUCUGUGAGGCUUUUAGCUGUUUAGCAAACUGGCAAAGGCACUGUCCCUGACAUGGUAGUGUCAAUACUGUCUGAAACAGAUAACCCUCCAAUUGUAGAAUUAUUAAAGGUCUUUUGUCUCAGCUUCCCCUAUUUUUAAACCACCUCAAAUGCUUACCUCUAUAAAUGCACUGUGAGCAUGCUACUAAAUGGAUGUUCACAGGAAGUUUGUCGUUUGCCUCCAAAUGGUCGGCUUCCAAUGAUGAUCUUUCACUUAAGAGGAUUGCUUGCUAAUGGUCAAGGCUGACCAGCUGAUAUUUUUUCAGUGGCAGAUAAUGACUGGAAAUGCCCCCCUAUUGGGCAGUAUGACUGGAUUCAACAAAUGAGUCCCAUUAGCAGAAGCCAGCCAGCACAAUGUGGCUUCCCCCACCUGCUCCUCUCCUUGCACCUUCAAAAAUGAGCUCUGGGAGGGUUGGGAAGAACCCCCAUGACAGCGCUUGGAGGCAGGAGAGGGGAUCAUUCCAUCUGGCAAGCUGAAAAGUUUGCACUGACAGAUCGACUGCUAUAGCACUAUGUUGAAUUUCUCCCUCAAUCUGCAAGGUGUUCCUGUAUGAAACUCUCACCAUCUUAUUCGGCUGUGAAUGAGAUUUUAUCACCAUUUCAUGAUUAUUUAUUUAUUAACGUUUAUCUAAGCUUUAUUUGAGGGUCACUCAAGAUGUCUUAUGGCAGCAAAAGAUGAAAAUCUGUCCUGGAAGUGACAAGAGCAUGAAUAACUUUGGCUGGACUUGGUUUCUCCAGGAAAGGGCACAAGUUGUUUCAAAACAACUAGCCACAACUACCUGAGCAUUAAGCAGCAGGUUUAAAUUCAAGAGCACUCCCAAACUGCAAAUCCGCUGCUUCAGGGUUAGUGGACCAAAAACAGGAGAUAACACACAGAAAUAAAAAAAUGUGCAAAAUAUUUGUGAGUGCUAAAUAGAUAUAUGGCUUGGUUUUCAUUUAAUUAUGCAUAUAAGCUGCUGGCCUUGUCACUCAGCAUAAGGUGGAAAUACUUUUGCUUACCUGCACACACAUAGCAACAGAAUACUUUCUUGGAUAUACAAAACUGCAUAUAUUGAUUUUAGUAUUACAAAAACACUAGACUGGAGCAUGACAUUAGAUCUUAUGGAACCAGCCCACAUAUUGGACUCACCAAUUAUGAGUCUUGUUUGCUAUGCUGCUAAGGUUACUACCUUUUGAAGAAAAUCUGACACCUGGGUAGGACCUGAACUUGAGAGAAAUUGGGGAGGAACCUGAUAGACUCUGGUGGGGAAAGAGCAAUAUACAGUGGUGCCCCGCAAGACGAAUGCCUCGCAAGACGAAAAACCCGCUAGACGAAAGGGUUUUCCGUUUUUCGAUGCGCUUCGCAGGAUGAAUUUCCCUAUGGGCUUGCUUCGCAAGACGAAAAUGUCUUGCGAGUCUUGAGAUUUUUUUCGCUUCCCCCCCUUUUUCUAAGCCGCUAAGCCGCUAAUAGCCUUUUAGCCGCUAAGCCGCUAAGCCUUUAAUAGCCGCUAAACCGCUAAUAGCACUAAUCCGCUAAGCCGCUAAUAGGGUUGCUUCGCAAGACGAAAAAACCGCUAGACGAAGAGACUCGCGGAACGGAUUAAUUUCGUCUUGCGAGGCACCACUGUAAUGUGCUUAGAAUGUCAGACCAGGACUGCAGAGAGCAAGUUACAUCCAUACUCAGCCUUGAACUCAGUGGGUGACAAGAAGCCAGUCACUCCCUCUCAACCUAGCCUACCUCACAGGGUUGUUGUGAGGAUAAAAUGGAGAGAGCAGAGGGAACCAUAUGUUGGAGAUUCAUUCCCCGUGUCUGCAGUCAUGGGAUUGUUGUCUAUCACAUGACGGUGUAUGUUUUCAUUCCACAGUGUAAGAAGUGACGGAGACAGGAUGUUUGUGUUACUGUGUUCCAUGAAGUGGGACUAUUGUCCUUUGUUCUUUUCUCUUUUUGCUGUCUGAUGAGAAAGAGGCAGGAGUUAAGUCAGAAUGCUCUGAGUGUAUUAUAUGUAAAUAAAGUAGAUUAGCAAAAAUGCUGUGCUAUUGGUUCUGUUACGCAAACUGCGAACAUUCUGUGGAUCCCUAAGUGUGCUGAUGCCUGUAAUGUUCGGGCGGAAGAAUGCUUUUGUAGCUCCCGAACUAUUACUAUGUUUGUUAUGUUGCAGUUAUGUGUUUUUUUGCAUGUUGCAAGCUGCCUUGAGCAUGGUUUGAAUUAUGGGAAGGUGGCACAUUUUAUCUAAUGAUGUAUGUAUGUAUCUUGAACUCCUUAGUGGGAAAGCAAGGUAUAUAAACCAUUUUUAAAACAUAAAAACAACCUUCAGCCCCCUCAUUCCCAUCUGCAAUAUGAGAAAUCUAAUAUUGAGCUACUAUAUAGGAUUAUCAUAAAGAUUACUGAGGUAAUGAAUAUGAAUUGCUUUGGAUACUCACUGCGCAAAUGCCAAUUAUUGUUUUAAGUCUUGAAUGUAAUUUAUUUCUAGAACAAAAUCUUCAGAAAGGCUCAAAAUGCCAUGGCAUAUUUUAAUGUUGUAAGGAUAUAAAUGAAAAUAUAUUUGCAUUGUUAAUUUAUUAUGGAGUUUUUGACCUAUAGAGAUAAGAAAGGAUUUUUCGCUCUCUAAGAAAAGCAGCUUGACAUGCAAGCUUGUUAAUUCUCUUGAUGUACAGCAUCGCUGCCCUUUACAAAUACAACCACUUUACCUUGUAGCUUAUGAUAAUUAUCUGAUCAGAUAGCAAACACAAACGGUUGCCAUGUUCUGUAUGAAAUGUCUUAAGACACAGAAAAGGGGAAGGGAGAGAAGUUUCUUUGCUAAAGUUGAUUUGCUGCUCUAAGGAAACUCACAUCACCCUUAAAUUCGACGCAAACCGUCUGCAGAAGCACAAUAAAAUUCACAAAGAAAAUAGGAAAAUACAAUCACUUUGGAGCAAGCAAGAUAUCCAAGUGCUCUCUUCUGAUAGACAGGAAAAUCUCAGCAACAGAGAGCAGGACACACAAUUAGGCAAACAGAUGGACUGUGUUAUAAUAUUGAUUUGAGAGAUUGCACCAGAUACCACUAACGUAGCACAGCUACUGCCACAGAUAGGUAUGCAGCUGAGCCUGAAAUCCUGUAGUCAUUUGUACAGUAUUAGUAUUUUGGCUUUAUGGAGAGGACCUGUGUCGUCUCGGCAUGAGGCCGGCUAAUUUUACAGGGCUGCGCAGUAAAUCAAUGUGCUGCAAGGAUAACACAGAGAUAAUACGUUGUCAAACCAAGGCCCCGUGAAAAAGAAUGCACACAUUGCAUCUGGAAGGACACAGAGCAGUGUGUGUGUGUGUGUGUGUGUGUGUGUGUGUGUGUUGUUUUAUUUUGUUCUGGCAACGCCUCCUGGAUGACUUCUCUUUGCACACCAGCUCCGUGGCAUCCCUCCAAGGUAAUUUGUGAACCUUGGUUCACACCAUUUUCAAAGUAGGUCAUACACGGUAAUCUCAGUUGAGGAGAGAUACCCCUGUCAGCAGCAGUCACUAGAGGAUGCAGGGAGGACGGCAGCCUCGACCAAUCACAAAGCUGGUAUAAAUAAAUAGCAUGAGAGCUGUGGAACUGCACACGCUCCAAGGCCAGCAGCAUCAAGGUGCUUGCCUUGUUCAAACAGCUGACAGACAUGCUCUAACAGACCCAGAGCUCUCUCCCUCCCUCCCUCUGCCAUUUAUAGACGUAUAAGGACCAACUGUUCUGCUGAGCACACCAGCGGCAGGGCUUAAAUAUUAACCAUAAUGAAAAUACAGAAUAAAGGGAAAUCUAACCUUUACUCAGAGCCAGAAUCUCAGCUAAUGCUGACAUAUAAGAUUUCCAGGAAAAGAAGUUACUAUGGGCUUCAUAUUACCAUGCCUUAAUGAGCCUCACUUAAGCAUUCCUCGUUCCUAUGUGAAUCACUGCACAUGUUAUACACUUUGUAAAUCAGAAAUGCAGAACAGUGCACAUUCUUACAGAAUGUAACAUUUGCUAUAAGGUUUCUCUAGGAGUUUAGGAUAUAAAGAACAUGGGUUUAUAAAGAAUGUAGUAGGCUAUUAACAUCUACAUAUGUAUUAGGAUAAUAACACUUUAUCAAUUUGUAGAAGAAUGUAAGGGAGUAUAUUACAUUGCAUUUUUGUGUAUAUAUUUUUUCUCUUUCUUAUACACAUCUUUGUUCUCCCCCCUCACUUCCCUUCUUUUUUUCUCUGUAUCACUUUUUUUCUUUAUAACUGAGAUUUUUAAAAAAUAAAAAUAUUAAUGUUUUUAAAAGACAUAUAGGUCUGACAUCUCUUUUUAAGAUUAAAGUUAUAAUUAAAUCCCAACAUUUACUAAACCCAGGCGUAUAGAACCCUCAAACUUACAACAAUAUAGAUUUCUACGUACACAGAGUUUAUAUAUAUUUACUGUAUAUAUUACAUUCAGUUCUCCAACUGAAUCUCCAUCUGAAGUUCAAAAUUGUACAAUCUAGACAGAUGAUUCCCAUCUAAUAUGCUAUUUGACUGUAACUGAAAACUAGGAGAUAGGCUUUGUUCAAAUGAGUAACCAUGUAAGAAAGUCUUAGGUCACAGGGAGUAACUGUUGCUGGCACUUAGAAAUCUGUGGGUGCUCCCUGCCCCGGGAGUAAGAAUCCGUAGGGGUCAAAGGUGUCAUAUUGUCUAGUUUCACUUUCCAUCUUUAUAGUUCUACUUUUGUCCAGCCAGACCCUGCCCUGUUUCCAAUAUCAUUUUCACCCUUUUAUGCUGGGUGUCUUCCAACUCAUUCCACUGGUGACUUAGGAUAAAACUAUACCAAGCUUGGUGAUGCAUUGUUUGAGAGAGUGAGUGGUCAGCAUAUGUGGAGAGGCACAAAGGUGGCCAACAUGGAAGUUGCUGGAACACACAUACACAGGUCUUCCCUGAUCCAUCUAGGGCAGGCUUCCUCAACCUCAGCCCUCCAGAGGUUUUUGGCCUACAACUCCCAUGAUCCCUAGCUAACAGGACCAGUGGUCAGGGAUGAUGGGAAUUGUAGUCCCAAAACAUAUGCAGCGCCAAGUUUGGCCAUGCUUGGUCUAGAGUGUCCCAUAAAGGUUGACCAACAGUUUUCUGGCAAUGUCACCACAAGGAGUGCUUAAUGCAAUGAUGUACUUAGUGAACAGCCUACAAUUAACUAGUGAAUCAACAAUGUUAGUGAUGGGGUGGGGGGAAAGCUGAUGGAGAUGCACACUGAGGAAAGUCAGGAUGACACAGUAAGAGUCUAUCCCUUUACCUUUUACCUGUAAAUGUUGAGUGAUCACCAUUCACAACCAAUAUGGGAGACUAUUCUCCUGAGCAGCAGGGUAUUCCUACCAGUGACAUACAUAUAAGAAUGUACUUUUGUGGGUGAUGCAAGGAAAAGGUCUAACCUUGAUGGGCUAGAACUGGCUACAAGAAUUGAGAUUGGAUUGGCAGCACAUUUGUUUACUCUGCUUGAGGUCAUUGGAAGAACUCUUGGAGCAAGCAGAUCUUUACUCCAGUACUGGGAAUACUAGAUGGGGUGGCAGCCAAGAUCCACAUGAGUCCAGAUGUAGAUCUUCAGUUUUUGUUCAGUUCCUACUAGUGCUGCAUGAGACUGUACAAUGAAGUAGGAAAAGAGAUAUAGUAUCUGGAGAAAGAAGGUAUUCUGGAACCAGUCUGGUUUUCUCACUAGACCACUCUGAUUGCACCAGUGGUUAAGGGAAAUAAAUUUGUAAAGGUUUGCAGAGAUUACUGAGGGACUGCCAUUCAAGAUCACAAAGCUGAAUUUAUAUUCCCUGUCCCAAAAUUAUUUGCCUUCCUAACUGAGUAGACAGUGUUCUCCAAACUAUAGCUUCAUACACAAUAUACCUUUAAAGCACACUGGAAGUGCAUUCUUUCCCUCAAAGAAUUUUGCGCACUGUUGUCUGUUAAGGGUCUAUGGGAACUGUAACUAUGUGAGGGGUAAACUACAGUGCCCAUAAUUCCUUCAAGAAGGACUUUAAAGGUAUAGGAUGUGUACAUAGCCUUCAUAGAAGUCGAGCUUAUCAACAACUGCUUCUUGAUGAGGAACUACUAAAUGGAGUGUUAUUUAGUUAUUUCAACUUCCAGUUUGAAAUAAUAGAAUCAGAGAAUAAUAGAGUUGGAAGCGAUCCAAGGGUCAUCUAGUCCGACCCCCUGCAAUGCAGGAAUCUCAGCUAAAGUAAACAAGCAUUUUAGUUUCCCUUUGAAUGUCCCGGUCCUCAAACACUCUGCAUUUCAAUAAGAAGAAAACUGCCCUUGCAGAGCUCAGGCGAUGCUGGAUUUCAGCAUCAAUAUUGGCCCUUGUGGAAAUAUAAAUGCCCAGGUAGGAGAAGUGAUUGGCACUUUCCAACUUUACACCACUGAGUUGCAGAGGGGUUGUUUUGUGCUUGUUGGUGCAGCACUUUGGUUUUUUGGAUGUUGAGUGAUAGGCCAAGCUUUUCAUAAGCUUCUGCGAAUAUAUUUAGGAUGGUUUGGAGGUCAUCCUCUGAGUGUGCACACACUACAUUGUCGGCAGCAUAUUGAAGCUCUAUGACAGAAGUUAUCACAACCUUACUCUUUGCUUUCAGCCUACUCAGAUUAAAGAGCUUUUCAUCUGUUCAAAUACCCUGGUAAGGAGUUUCCCUUUUACAAUGUGUAGGAUCACUGAAAUGAAAAUAAUAAAUAGAUUGGGGACGAUAACACAACCCUGUUUAACACCUGAUCCCACUGUGAAUGGUUCACUUUGAGAGUCAUUGUUGUCUGUGGUUGUUACUGUCAUAUUAUCAUGGAGGAGCCAAAGGAUGUUCACAAAUUUAUCUGGGCAACCAAUUUUCAGAAGGACAGUCCAUAGGGCAUUACAAUUUACAGUGUCAAAGGCCUUAGUCAGGUAAAUAAAUGCCAUAUAAAGGGAUUGGUUUUGCUCUCUACAUUUUUCUUGAAGCUGUUGAGCGGAGAAAAUCAUGUCCACUGUCCCCCUAGAAGGUCAAAAACCAUUUCGUUUCUGCGCAUGCGGUGAAACCUGGUAAAAUACUUCCAGGUUUGCCGCGUGCACAUCCUGAAGUUUACGUAAACAGAGGUAUGACUAUAUUGCAACUGAGAACAUUGAUCUUUACCUUAAGACAGUGGGAGCCAAUGCCACUGGUAGUCUUUAUAACUUGCACUCAUCAAAAAUAGCAGGGUUUUUACUAUGGGGCAAGCACAGCCUUUUCACUAUGAGGCUCCCUAGCUAUUGAACAAGAACUUUCAAAGAGAAGUUUGUUUUGCAGUGAAAAAGAUCAGAAAAAGAAAGCUUUAAAAUAGAUUGGUCUGUUUUAGAAUGCCUGGAUUAUAUUUAGCUAAAUCCUACUCUGAGUAGACCCAUUCAAAUUAAUGAAACUAUGUCAGUUAUGUUUAUUAACUUCAGUGGGUCUACUCUGAAUUGGACUAGCUUUGAAUACCAUCUUUUGUCACUGUGCUGGUUAUGUUUUGUUUUUUGUUUUUAAACAUCCAGUAAGGAUGCUAAAUACCUUUAUAAGGACUAAUAAAAAGUAACUGCAGGACUCUUCAUGCUCAAUGUUAUGUCAAACAAAAAUAGCAAAAGUAGGAUGAACCAUGGUGUAUUUUAAGAAACGUCAAAAAUGUAAUUUCAGAAUUAAAAUAGAAACUUUUCUUUCAUGACUCAUGAGGUUGUAUACGUGCAAUAGGAACAUAGUAUGUGUGGGGGAGGCAGCCUGUGUUACAAGUUUGUACUAGGCACAAAAAUAUGGUGUUUGGACCUUGCUUGCAUUCGCCCACAUAGCCAUCUCUCUUCCACCCACCCACCCCCACUGCAUCCAAACCCUCUUCCAUUGAUACUCCGGGAAAAGGGAGAGCACUGUGCUAUAUUUCCUUGCCUGUGUUUCUUUAUUAUUACCCAGAGGAUCCCAACAUGGCUGUUGAAAGAACUGCGGACUUUUUCUGGCCUUGAGGAACCUUCUGUCCUCAAAUGUUGCACUUUCCUCUUAAACAUUUUUGUAAGGAGUAAAAAAACAUAAAAAACAUAAAAACCACAGCAGGUUUAGGAAUACUUAUAAUAGUUGCACUUUUGCUUUUGACUGAGUCAGCAGGUAAAUCUGUUUCCUUUUAGAACUUCAUAAAUAUCUAACAAAACCUACUGAGAGUAAGGUAUCAGAGACAAAUGUAAAUGCCUCUUUUUUAAAAUAGCAUUCUCAAUCACUGUAAUUAUACCAUGAGUAUGUUUUUUAAAAGCAUAGACAUUUUGAAUAAUGUUCCAAAUGCAGUUUCAAAGAUUCCUGCGGGGGGCAAAAUUGGCUUUCUUUCACCUCUGAAGGGGGAAAAAAAACAAACCUGGAGCGCUAGAUUUCAUGGAAAGAGACAGAUGUACUUUAGUUUGGUGUAUAUAAUAGCAAGAUAAUAUCUUGUUUUGUACUGAUUAAAUGAGAGCAUAAAUAGCAUUCAUAUUUCCCCGGUUUGUGUGUUUGGGAGGGAAAGCACAUUACAUUCUUGAUCAUGUAAUGGAUAGGGAAGGAAGUUUUGCUUCAAAAGCAUAGCUAUUUGCUACUGAAAAACAACAUUUGCUUUAUUCGUACCAGUUUUAGAGAGGAGGAGUGCAGAACUAAAGAAAACACAUUUAAAAGAUGCCAACAGUUAAAUAAACUAGUGGUGUCUUGUUAGUGUAUUACACCUUGGGGUGGGUGGGGAGGCCGGAUGAGCUACCUGUUAAGUUGUGGGCGAACAUAUCAGACGACACAGCGAUUCUUCCAAAGCAGCUCUUUAUUUGUAAGCUGGAACAGAACUGAACUGAGGAGCUCAGUCAGCCUGCUUAUAUAGAGCUCCACUAGAAUGCAACAGUAACCAUUUUCUGUUACUAUCCAAUCACUGAACGUCACUUUCGAUCCUUCAUUUGCAUACAAACUAUCCAAUCACUGAACGUCACUUUCGAUCCUUCAUUUGCAUAACUAUCUACAGUAUCCCCCUGCUGGCCCAUGGUGAGAACUUCAGUACAUAACACUACCCACCAGAAGCGGUAGUGCAGCAAGAGGGUGCUCAGUCUCUAAGCAGGGAUGAGUAACCUGUGGCCCUUGAGAUGUUGAAUGGGCUCCAGCUUCCAUCAGUCCAAGCCCGUAUGGCCAAUGGCCAGGGAUGAUGGGAGUUGUAGUCCAACAACAUAAGGAGCGUCGCAGAUUCCCCAUUCCUGCUCUAAGCUAAUUUAAAAGGUCACACAAUGGUUAGUGUAAAUCAUGUGUGUGUGCAUAAAGGGCCUCAAGCCUCUGCCCAUGAAUCAGGAGACACUCAGAGCGGUUGCGAGACCUUGUGUUUCCAUCAUGAGUUUCUAAACCUUGGGCUCUUGCCCAUCAAGGUCAGUACCUGAACCAUUUAAUCAUAGAAUCAUAGAAUUGAAGAGUUGGAAGAAACCCUGAGAAUCAUCUAGUCUAGUCCAACACCCUACAGUCCAGAAAUAUGCAGGGUUUCCCCCUAUUCUCCCUACCCCCACACAAUCCCCAAAUUUGCUCUGAAUGGUUAGGAUAAGGUUAACAGACAUCCCCACUUCCCGGGGACAGCCCCCAGAUUUACAAAUCAGUCCCCAUACGAAAUCCAUUGAAGUUGAAAAGUUUCCCCGGAUUCAUUGAAAAAAAAUCUGGUAACCUUAGGUUAGGGGAACCCCUAGAACAAAUUUAAGGGAUGCUUGAAGGGAGAUGAGGGGGGAGACAUUCUAUUGCACAAAAAGAAAUCCCCGCACUGACAAAAGUGGUAUGCAACCCAGGGCUUCUUUUCAGCUGGAACUCACUGGAACUCAUUUCCAGCGCCUCUCAGGUGGGCGCCAUGUGCUAUUAUGAGAGAACAAGAGGCGUUCAUGGUGAGUUCUGGCACCUCCUUUUCUAGAAAAAUAGCACUGCCCGUGGUAUAUACACAACCUUAGUCUAGAUGGUAAUCCAAUUAAAUGUUAUCUAUAGUAGGCGGUAUCUGGUUUUCAACAUCACAAUAUAUCACCAGCUAAACAUCACAAUCUCCUGCCAACCUAGCAGUUCGAAAGCACGUCAAAGUGAAAGUAGAUAAAUAGGUACCGCUCCGGCGGGAAGGUAAACGGCGUUUCCGUGCGCUGCUCUGGUUUGCCAGAAGCGGCUUAGUCAUGCUGGCCACAUGACCCGGAAGCUGUACGCCAGCUCCCUCGGCCAAUAAAGCGAGAUGAACGCCACAACCCCAGAGUUGGUCAUGACUGGACCUAAUGGUCAAGGGUCCCUUUACCUUAAACAUCACAAUAUUUCGAUAUAUCACAAUGUUUGAAAUAAGGUUGGAACUAUGUAGAGGUGAAUAUGGUAAUGCCCUGGCAACUGCUACUAUUUAUGGGUCUAACUCUAAAACUGAUAAAUUUUUACUUACCAUUAACAUAUUGUUAAAACUGUUAUGUUAUAGCAUAUUUUCUCUAAACUUAAAGCUGUAGAAGUAAUUCAGUAGCAUAAAUAUCAAAGGUAAGUUGAGAGAAUGUUUCCUAAAAAAUUAAUUACAUUACUAAACAAGAAAAAAGCCAAUUCACAAUUGUUAUGUAUUAUCACCGUCACACUUUUAGAUAUUCAAAUAUAUUUCACUAUUGAGUCUUAGCUGAAUGUGUGCAUCCCACAACACCAGUUAUUAGACUGUUAGUUAAUACCAACACAGAAAGAAAAGAAUGGAUACAUUUUAACAGAACAAAAAAUUGCUAAACAAAAUUACUAUUUUAGUGCCAGGGGAAUUUGCAUUUCUUUUAUAAACCAGGCGAAACCAGAAUUUUUUUACAGAAUAAAAAAUGAUUAAACAAACAUAUAUAUUUUUGCAAGGAAAAUUUGAUGCAGUUAAUUACUCAAUGAAAUAAAAUUUACUCAGUGAUAGCGUGCUUCAGCUAUAACAUUACAGAUUUCUGGAGAAUAUAGAAAAUAGAUUUGCAUUCUUAUUUUGGUUAACAAAAAUAAUCCAUUUUCCCUGAGGUGUGUCUUCAAUGAAAGUUUGUUAUGACGAAGUUUAGGUCCCUGCUGAAAGCCUGAAGUCAUCUACGCAAUAAACGUAGUUAUUUAUUAUUACAUUUACAUCCCACCUUUCUUCCAAAGAGGUCAAGCUGGAGUACAUGGUUUUCCCACUCUCCAUAUUAUCCUCACAACUAUUUAUGUGCUGGGUUAGGCUGAGGGACUGUGAGCUUCAUGGCUAUGUAGAGAUUUGAGUUCUGGUCUCCCAGGGCCUAGUCCAACACUACUGCAGCACCUUACACUAAACACAUAGUGGAUAUCUGGAAUGACUGGCUUUGAAUAUCAUGCCCCCUUGGACUGUAAAAUCUUCGUUUCUCUGGUACCCAUAAACACCAGGAACUGGUGGGCUUUGCCACAAGCGCUUCAUGCGACACAUUACCUUGCUUUAAAAAAUACAGCUGUUUUCUACAUUAGAAAAACUAAAUAUAGUCCUGGUCCUGGCAGACUACUUUCCCUUUUAAAAUGUGUGUAUUCUAGUCAAGCUUCUUGCCUGAAUGUCCUUUUACCUUUCUGUACUUUUCUGGAUAUUCACCAAAUAGGAAGCAAAUAUUGACAAGUAAGGUUACGGAUUUUUCAAAAAAUGUUGCUGGGGCCUUCUGCCUUCUGCCAUGCACUACCUCCCUCAUUUAUCCAAGCCCACUAUUUAUCUAAACUAGAUGCAUGCCUCCUCCCUAUCCAGAUACAUGAUCCAUUCAAGUAUCAGCAAUCUAUAAUUAGCGAGAACGGAGGACUGCAAGAGUUAUUUAGCAUGUGUGAGUACAGCUUGUUGGAAAGUAUUCUAAAGCUGAUAGCGCCCUCCAACUCCAGCUGCCCAGUCAAAGUCACAGCCACUGAACUGUACAGUGAUUAUGUACUGGAUCUGCAGAUGCAUGACUAGCAUGAGUGUGCUGUUUCUUUAGAUCCAUAACUCUCUUCUGUUUCUGCAUGCAAUAACCUUGAGGUCUCUUUCUAAGGCCUAAUAAUACAUUGCUCUCCCUUUGGGUUGCUAUAGUGCUGAUGGUUUCCAUUUUCAGUAUUUUUAAAUUGUUGCACACACCUCAAUCCCAAAGCAGGGGUGUCUGAUUUUUUAUUUUAUUUGGACAGAUGUACAACCUGAGCAAAAGACAGAAGAACUAAAAGCAUUAACACUCCAACAGAUCUUGCUUUCCCAUUAGCUGUUGGGGAGGCAGGUCCCAAAGCCAUAACUUUGGAUUCAGCACACAGAGCAAAUUAAACUUCCAUGUCUCUUUCCAGCUUCCUGUUCAUAAUAGACAAAACAAAAGACUAGACUUUGGCCUAUUGUUCUCCUUCUUAGAGCCUGGUGGGUGGCUGGAAUUAUCCCAUUCUUCUGGAAGCACCAUAAGCUAGUUGUUCCUACAGCAACACAGUCAAUUCUUUAGAGCCAGUGUGGUGUAGUGGUUAAGAGCGGUAGACUUGUAAUCUGGGGAACCGGGUUCGCUUCCCUGCUCCUCCACAUGCAGCUGCUGGGUGACCUUGGGCCAGUCACACUUCUUUGAAGUCUCUCAGCCCCACUCACCUCACAGAGCGUUUGUUGUGGGGGAGGAAGGGAAAGGAGAAUGUUAGCCGCUUUGAGACUCCUUCGGGUAGUGAUAAAGCGGGAUAUCUAAUCCAAACUCUUCUUCUUCUUCUUCUUUAGUCAUGCAGAUAGGGUGCUUGUCCAGCUAAGGCCAUUAGUUAGUCAGUCAGUCAGUCAGUCAGUCAGUCAGGCUAAAGCCAUUAACUUAGCAAAGGCACUGGUUUGACCACUUCAGCAGUCCCUUCUACUAUAAACUACAGUCAUAGAGAUAUAAAAUAACAGGCUUGACUGAGAUCCAAAGGCAUCAUCCAAACCAACCUCCCAAUCCAAUAACAUUCUUAUUUUACUUUUAAGUAUUUGACAACUAAUAGAAAUAUAUGCUUAGGAUAGAGUUGAUUGCACCUCGGUUUCUAAUACUGGAUAUAUUGGUAAUUUUUGUUUAAAUAAAAACAGAAGAUUGUAUGCUUUUCAAUUUAUAGCCAGGAUGGGGAGCCUAUGGCCAUCCAGAUUUUGCUGGACUACAACUCCCAUCACCCUUGAUCAUUGGCCAUUCUGGCUGGAGCUGAUGGGAACUGGAAUCCAACAAAAUCCCCAACAAAAGCUUUUAGGUACAUCAAACGGUACUUUUAAUGUCCCCAACCUAAAUUUAUAAUCAUCUGAUACUAUACUUUUCUCAUUGGCCUUGGUUAGUUUGGCUCUGCUUUAUUCCCAUUGGCUUUGGUUUGUUUCUUUUAAAUCAUGGUGCAUCUCUGUAUUUCCAGCGACUGACAGAAAGUAGAAGACUAAAUAUGAAAAUGUUGAGAAAGGACAUACAGUGUGCCUAACUCAGCUUAAGUCAGGAAAUAGUAGAAUUCCCUCUGGGAGAACUGCUAUGUCUGAUAUUUCCACACUAAAGGCAACUGGAUAAACAGUAGAGAUGACACAGACUACUGAACGUUUAGUGGACAUAUAUAGACACUACUUGCUUUAUUUCUGCUGCGGGAUGGGUUAUCUGAUUAAUUUAAAUAAGUGACUCUUCAUGGAAACACCCACCCACCAGAUAAUCUGCAUCUUUCCUGAUGCCGAUGCAAGUAAUUAAAGAGGGCAACAAUUAUUCUAAGUAUGCUGUCUUAAAGCACAGUUACUUAGAGGGAAACCUAGUAAAAUUAACGGAAUGUCAUUCCAAGGAAUUGUUUAAGGAUCAGGCUAUCAAAUACAGAACUAAAGGAAGGUACCUAGAUAAGAAAAUUGCAAUGAUUUUAUUGAGAAUGUUCAGUACCUCAAAAGAUUCACCUUGUCAUAUACAUAACAGUAACUAUUAAUUCCAGGACCAUUUGGUCAUCAAAAGUCCAUCAAAGCCUUAUUAUCAUAAAUUCUAACUUAUUUUAUGUUAGAAAUUGUACAGUUUGGAUGUUGUGUUUUUAAUAGGUCUGUGACUGCAGAAUACAUUUGAUUGAUGAAUUGAUUGCCUUUGCCGGGGCCCUUCCCUCGGGACAAGGAAAUUGGGUGGGUGGGUGAGAGAGAGAUGCAGCUAACUCCACAAGGGCAUCACAAUGGGCAAACUAAUUCUGCUACUCUAUACCUUAUCGCCAACAUCCAUAGAUGAACCCUGAGAAGACCAAUCACAACAUUUUCUCCAUCUUCAUCACUUGACCUGUCAGGGAUUUGUGUCUUGUUCCUUAUACGAGCCACUAUCACCAUCUCAGGCUAGAACUACUUUCACCCAAGAUUCUCAUAAAAGCCUUUCUGUAAUGAGGUCUUCCUACUUCAGACAGACAAUUCUCUAGCAAUCCUCACAUUUUAAUCACUUCAAAAAUCUCCAGUGUGUGUGUUUUUAUAAUCUGUUUGCUACACUGAAAUCACAACCAUCCUCCAAAGACUCAGAGCAGAGUUUUAGCCUUACAACAACCUGACUUGUUCCAGACUACUGAAAUGAAUUUACUAUUUUUUCAAAAAAAUAGUUCUCUGGUAGUUCGCAAAACUUGAACAAACAUAUGUACCAUUUACUUAUGCCUACUACACAAAACUAAGAACUGAAUAUUUAUUUAGCUUAAGUCUAUAUGGUGUAAACCUAUAUAAAUUUAUACUGUGCUAAUUUAUGGAAUGCAGUACAGAAGGCUGAGAGCAAGUUGUGUUGCCUUUCUUCCCACGUUUUUGCUGAAAUAUUCAUCUCCAGGUUCUCCACCCCCACCAUUUAUUCCCAUGUUUUCUUUAGCACUGCCACAGAUGUUUGGGCAGCUUGUGUUAGAAGAUAUUAUGUCUUACCAGAGUGCAUUUGUAUAUUUGCAGCAUGUAGGUGAUCAACAUUCCAGCUUGAGCAAGUGGCUGUACCUCAGUACAAUUAAUGCUCUUUGUGAAUAGUCGUUACAGGUUUAUCCUAGGCAAGCUGAAGAACAGCCAGGCAUUGCAUCACUCCACCUUUGAAACAGACAUCCCCUGUAUACCAAACAGCUGCAUCAGAGACUGUGAACAUUGUGCACUUCAGAAACACUAUAAUCAUGGCAGAUGAUGGAUGGGUGCCACUACAUUUUAUUUAUUUUAAAAUUUAUUUAUAUCCAGCACCUUCAGCCCUAAAAAGGUUAUUCAGAACAGCUAACAAAAUAUAUACAAAAGCAACAGUUCCUAUUAAAGCACCACACCACAACUAGUAGACUUCAUAACUGAUCCUGCACCUGGGUAGGAAGAAACAGGAAUGUGUAACAUUUAUCCAGUUCUUCAUAUUCAUAUUUCAUUCAAAAGAACCAAGAACUAUUUCAUCAUCUUUUUAUCUUAGCAAUCAAAAGCAGGUUGCUCACCCGUAACUGUGGUUCUUUGAGUGGCUGUUGAUACGGUUCUAUAAGUGUGUGUUUGUUUGUGCAGCUGUGCAAAGUGCGGAAACUUCUAGAGUGGGGUGUUUAAAAGUUUUGGUGGGAAGUCUGCUCCCAUCCCUCACAACACAUGCUCAAAAGCUGUGCAUUCACCUUCCCGCCUAGUUCCUAAAAGAUCAUUUGAGCAGCUAUAUAAGAAAGCACUCGAGCGAAACCAAGUCAUAAUGGCCUCCACAACAGGGAAGGAGGGUGGGUUGUGUGACUAUAUAGAUCACUGCUUGAAGGACCACAGUAAGGAACCAGUUUUUCUUCUUCACAAUAUCUGUGCAGUCCCACAUAUGGGAGAAUACCAAGCUAAGAGGCAGGACACAUGGCAUUGGGUGAUCACUGAGCUCAACACAGCCUAUCCAAAAAGGCAUCCACUCAGGACAAAAUAUACAAAGCAUAGUGCCUCACAAAUGUCAAUGACUGCAACCAUACAGAAUCAAAACAUGCCUGAGAUUCCUCUUAGGAAGUGUGUUCUCACCUUGGUGAGGGCUCAAAACAACUAGGCCCACCUUAUACAGAAAUAACACCUCUCAAUUGAACGUCAUGGCAUCCCUACUAAGUAUGGCAGGUCCAAGCAGAAACUACAAAGUUCACUAACUUAUAUUGUAGACAUGAUGGGCAGUUAAUUUUCUUGUACUAAUCUUCUGUAAAAGGAAUUCAGGCACCAAGCACUGUCAACUGCAGUAUUGCUUAAUUCAGGACUAUUGUGUAAGGAUAAAUAUCUGAGUAAGGAUAUUUAUUUCCUUACUUUCAGCAUUUUUAUACCUCCCAUUAACAAUAUGGUUUCUGGGCAGCGUAAUUUUUAAAAAAACACCAUUGGAAAUAAAAAUACAAAAGAAAAAAAGGUUAAAACAACAUCAGAAUAAAACCACUAGCAGAGAAAACAAUAGCAUCCAAGUACUAUUCACUAUUCUUCAAGAGUUUAUGAUCCACACAUAGAUCUUGUUCGUCUUUCCCACAUUCAGUUGAUACAGAUUUUAUGCUGCAUUCCAAGAACAAGUUCCUGCACUGUUACUUGGAAUCCUGAGUACAAAAGCAGAGGAAUGGAAAAAUGCUCUCCCUCAGCUGCUAAGGACUCUUUUCCACAUAAUAACUUGCAUUCGGGAGAAUGAUCCCAUAAAUGGCUAUGUGAGUGCCCUUUUGAAAAUCCUGUUCCUGGGAUUUUGUGACCAGGCACGGGUACAAAUCCUCCUCAUGUUUCACUGUUCACAGGGUGAGUAGCCUGCGUACCUUGGAAAGCAGCCCUGACUAAUGUCAUAAGAUGAAGGAGUAUAAAGACCGAGCUCUUUUAGCUAGGACUGAGGAUGCCUCAGAUUUACAUGUUGCUGCCCAAUGUGGUAAGCUAUAAAGAUGCCAGGGUUGGGCAUCGGGCGGCAGUCUGAGAUGAGCCAGCAGCCAUGGAGCAAACCAAUAAUCAAGUCAGGACCAAAGUAAAACCAAGAGACAGGAUUGAGGAAGAAGCCAUGAUUCAGCCAAAGGAUAUAGGAAUGAACUAGGGCCCAACAAAACCUUGCUCCUCUGCGAAGCCUUAACAAAAGCAGGAAGCACUUUUAUACUCUUUUCUGUCUGAGAAGAUCUAAUAGUCAACCUGGAAUGGCAGGGUAAGUCCAGUGCCUAACGAUACUACACUCCCACAUCCAAAUUCAGUGGCUCACCACAUGGGGCAGCCACACACAAACCCAAAGGCUCUCAGUUUAUGCCUCAGUAUUUCCUGACAUAUGCCUGUUGCCUUUUGUCCAUGGAGUUUUCUUGGCAGGGAUACUGGAGUGGCUUGCCGGUUCCUGCUCCAGGUGGAUCACGUUUGGUCAAAACUCUCCACGAUGACCUGUCCAUCUUGGGUGGCCCUGCACGGCAUAGCUCAUAGCUUCUCUGAGUUAUUCAAGCCCCUUCACCACGGCAAGGCAGUGAUCCAUGAAGGGGAAAGCAGAGACAUCACCUUGCCAACAAAGGUCCGUAUAGUUAAAGCCAUGGUUUUCCCAGUAGUGAUGUAUGGAAGUGAGAGAUGGACCAUCAAGAAGGCUGAUCGUCAAAGAAUUGAUGCUUUUGAAUUAUGGUGUUAGAAGACUCUUGAGAGUCCCAUGGACUGCAAGAUGAUCAAACGUAUCCAUUCUUAAGGAAAUCAGCCCUGAGUGCUCACUGGAAGGACAGAUCGUGAAGUUGAGGCUCCAAUACUUUGGCCACCUCAUGAGAAGAGAAGACUCCCUGGAAAAGACCCUGAUGUUGGGUAAGAUGGAGGGCACAAGGAGAAGGGGACGACAGAGGACGAGAUGGCUGGACAGUGUUCUCGAAGCUACAAACAUGAGCCUGACCAAACUGCGGGAGGCAGUGGAAGACAGGAGUGCCUGGCAUGCUCUGGUCCAUGGGGUCACGAAGAGUCGGACACGACUAAACGACUAAACAACAACAACAACAACAAAUUUCCUGACAUAUGGCACAGAUCCUUGGGCCGUGAUGUGGCCUACCGUUUGAUUUGCCUUUGUCCACCCAGGCAGUUCAUUGGCUUCCUCCCCACCCCUCAAGGUUCCCAGACUUGUGCCUAGUUAACAACAGCCUCUCAUGUGUUUGUCCCUUGCCUCUCGGCACAGGCUUGUAAUUUACUGAGUGUCAGCUUUGAUAAAGGUAGACAGCAGGCUCCAGAGGGUCAGUUCCCAACCAGAGCCCACAUAGCUUGAACACUAUGACUGAUACAACCUGGCAAAGAUAUCAGUGCUCUAACCUCACCCUUAAGUAACAAGAACAUCUUACAAAGUAAUAUUUCUUUGGGAGAAGGUUAUAGGUUUCAGCAGGAAGAGCGAAAAGGUAAUCCUCAGUGAGAGUAUCCUAUUUGCUAACUGAGAAUUAGCAAAAACUAGAAGUGUGAGAGUCAAGUGUCUGCAAGGGAUUAAUCUGGGAUGUGCCACGUGUAUUGACGAAGGAAAUAAACAGGGAGAGGCAUAUCUUGAAACCCCACAAAGAGCCUUUGCCUUGUAGCAUACAAGACAAAACGUAAAGCAAAGCAAAACAAAACAAGCUGAACAUAAAAUGUACUUGUUAAACUUCUUCAGAACACAAAGUUUGAAACCACACAUACAACAGAAUGGAAACUGAAUUUAUAAAAAAUGUGAGAUUAAGCUACAGCAUUUCGAGACAUGUGGCAUCCUUCUCAGCGAAGUUAGUCAUGUCACACAUUCCCUCCCCCCCUACUGAGGCGUGUCACAACCCAGAGAAGAAGUCACAGCCAAAACUCAAACUUCUAUCGUGCUCUUUGUUAAACCAAGGCAUGGCUGCAUAUGUCAAAAAAAGCAAAUCCUCAAUCCUUAGAUGCUAAGACUUUUCCAAACUUUAUUGGCCCAGAGUGUAUGCAAGCACGAGAGUCUAGAAUACAAGAACACAACAAUAUGCCAUGAGAUAGAACUGGCAGCUGGAAUUCCUAAUUAACAGCUUGGAUCCUCCAAAAGCUCAAAUGGCAAGAGCCCUUUGAUGCAACGGCAAGAUUGCAGCAUUUCACUUUUAAAAGAAGAUGCCUCCUUGGGAUCACUCGUGUGUAUUAAUAGAAUGCCAUCUGUGUGGGAUGGCCUUGCUUGCAUUUCACCCUUCCCAACUCAAUCACCAGAUGGAGGUUGGGUCAGUGCGGUGAAGCUGCAUUUUGUACAGAUUAUAGGGUUUUCAAAAAAAGAUUAUUUGUUGGCAACAAAAAUGAUACAUGGAAAUCAAAAUCAUGUAGCGCAACGUUUAGCAGUGGAAUGAUGGUUUGUGCUGAUGCACACUGGAGCAGGCUAAUGAUAAAGCUGAUGUGCUUUAGCACACCCUGCCUUAGAGUCCACCUCACUCCUUCUGGGUUAGGAGAGGGUCUCCCCUUUAAUGCGGGUAGAAGGAUGGGAGUAGGACUGGUCUGGGUAUGUCUGGGCUGUUUCAUGAGAGUGGAGCCUUUCAAGUACCAUUUCUCCUGCCACUUCUUCCUCCAUUAACACCCCCUAACUGCUCACCAUUUUCUAAUUCAAACACUGAGGACAGAUACAAAAUUUAAACUUUGCACAAUUUCACUACCUGGCAAAAUGCAUUAGAUUACCCUUCAUGGUCUCAUAGAAGUCUAUAAAAUUCAAACCACGUUAAUUAGAAAUCAGUUUUUUAAAUAAAAAAAAAUCAUACAGGGUAGUAGUAACAUCCUGUGAUUUUCAUAGAUAAUGAAGAACUCUUCUGGAGAAGGGUGUUGGCAUGUGCUCACUCUUUCAGCUGAUUCUGUGGAUGGUCUAAAUUAGUCGUGGUUAAUAUUUCCCUCUUAUCAUGAAUGUCAGGUAGUAAUGAAGAUGGCACGUUUAAUCCCAGAUCUCAGUUGUUGUCACAGCACUAACCAGGCUAAUCACACGCCUAAAACCACUUGCACCAAAAUGGUCCUCUUGACUUCACAGUUACUCUAGAGCAGGGAUGUGCAACCUGGGCACAUGUGAUCCUUAAGUCUAAUUCCAGGCAGGUGACCUGGAGGGAGAAAAACAAGAAGAAAAGUGGGGGGGAGAGAGAAAGGAGGGUGGCUCCAACCCCACCUACCUUUCAUUCCAACACUACUAAUUUCUGCCAUGAGCCUCUUGGAAGGUUACCUCCAAAGGAAUGCAGGCCCCAAAAGUAAAAAGUUUGUUCACCCCUGCUCUAGAAUAACUGAUUAAAAGUAUUGUUGCUGGAAAAAGGGUCAGAAUAAGGCUUCAGAAGCCACACAAAUAGAAGGGGUGGCUCAAAUGACCACUCUCUUUUUCUGAACGCUGUAUCUGAUAAUGCCAUUUUGACUAAAUCAAGGCCAGCACUCAAGAGAACACUAUAUCAAGACCAGCAUCAGAGAGCUCACUAUCAGUAUAUAUCAAAGGUGGGGAAACGUUUUCAGUCUAAGGAAAAAGUGGGCAGGGCAACAAAUGAAACAAACAUUUUUAAUACAAUAGGCGAGUCUCUGCACACAUUCAUAUGCCUCUAUCCUCCAUACAAAAGCAUCACCAGAGUUCAAUGACACAUUCCAGCCAGGCUUGGGGUGUGAAGUAGCAGUAUGAUCUGAGGAAGGCAGGGGUAACCUGGGAAGGGUUCCAGGGGCCAGACAGAGAUGCCUAGAGGGCCACAUUUGGCAGCUAGGCCUGAUGGUCUCCAUCCCUGCUGUAUAUGAUAGUAAUAAAUAAUAUGCUAAUAAAUGACUGUCCAUAAUUCUCAAUGCCUGCAACACAGAGCAUGAAGGAUCUGAAAUGUCCUGCCCCAGCGACUAAAUUUAGAGUGUGGUCAAGUGCUUGCACUUUCCCUGGAGCUAUCAGGAACACAGCACACGAAAUGGCUUAUCAUUAACUCUUGGGAUUCUUCAUAGCUCAUUUACUCAAUAUACUCAGAAGCUUUCUAUUGGUAGAGCGGAAUCAAACCCUUGAAAGGUCAGGCUUACUCAGGGCCUUAUAAGCUCUGGCUUAACGUGAGGUAUAGCUAGCCAGUGUUCAGCCUUGACACUAGGACUUAGGCCAUGAGAAAUGUUGUUUAAUGAAUUUCAUGUGUAUAUUUUUCAAGGUGGCCUGCAUAGCUCAUAUCCAGCCACUGAUAUGAAUCAGACCUACUUCAGAAAGGUUUCUGGAUCGUGUUCCUGCAGAUCAUAACUGUGGUUCAUAACAAUGAAGACAAUUCCAUUAAGCAUCUGCCAUGAUGCAGUCGUUCCUCCCCCCCAUUCCAAUAUCUGGCCAAGGCCAGAUACCAGAACUUGUUGUGAAUGUCUGAGUCCAGUCCUGGAAUGUGUGAGAUAAAGUGACUGCUCUGAGCACGUAUAAAACGUGCUUCCCUCACUGCUGCAGAUGUAAUACCCAGUUUACAUAUUUAUGAGAUUACACAUCUGGGAUUUGUGUGAAAUGGAGUGAGGACCCCUUGGUCAAAAGAUGUGAUUUCUAGGAAUGCCUGAUUCAGGCUGGCACCUCUCAUUUUGAAAAUGGAACAUUAGCAUAAGUACAUCUCAGUGAUUUGAAAAGCUCGUUGUUUUUGAAAAGCAGUCCAGAAGUCACUUUCUGGCCUUGCUUGGUUUUAGUUCAUUAGGGGACACCGUGGUAAUUGUAUAAAAGCUGUGAAAAGACAUGGAUAAAUUUACCCAGCACCUUUCUUCCUCAAUGGUUUCUUUAUUCUGAUGUCAAAUAUUUGAUUUUCUUCUAUUUCAAAGUAUAAUAAUAUUCUGUUAACAUUUUUUUUUAUUGUUAAUUUAAGUGCCAUUAGAAACUUGAGAGCUUGCCUUUUGAAGGAAUUCAUGUCAAGGCUUUUUGAUAACUUACUCUGGAUGUGACAAGCCUAGGAAUCAUUCAUGGUGCGCUUGCUCCUGAGUGCUUACUGUAGUGUCUGUGUUUUGCUACAAUCUCCCUGGGUUUCUUCUCGGCUUACCCAUUGUGGUUUGUCUCUCACAUAUGAACACAGUUCGCUGGCUACCUAAUGGGACUGUCAUCAGCCACAAAAUGGCUGCAUUUGUACUUAAUACUAAACCAAGUUUUAGCAUUACAUGCAUGCAUAGGAAGGAGCUGCCACAAGGCUCAAGCUUCCAUACUCCCCCAUCUCCUUCUUCUGUGCAGCCACAAUUGCUGGUUUGCAUGUAACAAACCAGUUUUUGUGGGAACUGAAACUAAACCCUGCUGCAUGGGAAGAUGAGGAGGGCAUGCAGGAGCCAAAGAUCUAUGGUGACUCCUUCCUGCUUGUGCCCACAGUGCUAAUCCAUGGUUUAGUGUUACAUGCAAAUGUGGCCAUUAACAAUAAAGGAAAAUAUUACAGCAAUGCAUUGCAACAAAAAAAUUUAUUUAUACAAAGGGGAGAAGGGACAUGAAAAAUGAUGUACAAACAUCCUUUAUUGCUUUUGCAUUGUACUAGUGAGCAACUGGGAAGAUGUAACUAAUUGUCUAGCAACCAACAGUGUGAUGCCCUCAGUUUACUCCCAGCCUUGAAUAAGUUUCAUAUCAGCAUGUGGACAGUUGAACCUAUCAAGACAGGCCAAUUGGUAUCUUUAGACUGUACAAGUCCAUGCUGGAUUUCUGGUUUAGUACACUUAUUAGCAGUUAUUUAGAGUGAAAAUCCUUUAUAAACCGGAAGCAUUGCUGUACAACAUACAAGGCCAAAAGGUCCGUGCAAAUUCAUGUUUGGCUUUUAAUCCAUGGGCUAGAGCUGGCAAAACUAAACUGACAAUUGGCUCCAUAUAUGCCCCAAACUCAAAGCAAUUAGAAUUCAUCCAGAAAACACUAACAAAAAUCCUCUCCUUCUAUGCAGGGGAAGCAAUCUUGGAAGGUGAUUUCAACCUAAAUCUGAGAGAUAUUCCACCUACAACCCCAUGGGCUACCUUCCUCCAAAAGAUACCCCAAACGACUAGAGAUUCUUAGAAAUUACUAAAAAUGCUAAAACAGAGGCCUAUACGACAUCUGAGGCAAAAACACAACAACCAGGAGACACCAGCCACACAUUCCAGGCGCCAUGGCACAACGCCCAAACUGCAUAGCAUUCUGCUCAUGCAAGUCCUGAUCCUUUUGGUUGAAACAACAAACAUUGGUAACAUUAAGGUAACAGACCACAAACACCUCCCUUGUUCUCUUAUAAUGGCAAUGGCACCCACUUGAGAGGUGCCAUAACUGAGUUCCAGAGAGUUCUGAGUGAAAAAAAGUCCUGCCUGUAUAUUUGGGGUUUCUGUGGCAAAUGCUUACAGCAGAUCAAGGAUCUGUUAGAAUCAUAAUCAACCUCUAUAUGUGCAUUGAUGUUUACUUUCACCAUUAAACGUUUUCACAUUAUGUAAACACAGGCCUCGUAUAUGCUCUGAUACCCGUCUAUCCUUGGAAGAAGAGACUGACAGGCCCUAAGUGCUGUGGGAUUUUCUUGUCAGUCUGACUGACAGCUUUCAAGGAGACAGCAGUUCAUUCGACUUUCAGAUGUCAUCUACAUGAAUAAUAUGAAAAAACAACUCAGCUUUUUGUAUUUCCCUAAUACUUUCUCUUGGAUUUUAGUGACAGCUAUAAAACUCCAGUGCUUUGGGUGAGGGAAAAUACUUCCACCAACUCUCCAAGCUCUAAAGCUCACAAUAUACAAAAGCUUUACAGCUCAAGACCUUGCAAUUGUUUUUCUUUUAUCAUUCAGGCACACAACACAAAUCUCUGCAAUGUUUUAAAACAUACAAUAUACUUUUAAUGCCUCAGAUGCAUUACACUCUUUUGACAGCAGCUGGCAUUUCACCACUGAUAUUAUUUUAGUCAUUUGACCAUAAUACAUGCACAACAACUUCUACAGCGAUUUCCACGUGAUCGCAUACCACUGGUGAACAGGCAACAGCAUCAGCGGUUUGAAGGGCUUAAACCAUUAUAGGAUUUAAGAUUACAGACAUGCUUAUUCCACCACAAGGAUGCAAUAAAUAAUCCAAUCUAUAUGUCUGUGUAGGGGGGGUGUCCCUGCCCCCUCGUCUCAUAAAACACUUCCACAGAUCAUCUGCCUUUCCGCAAUCCAAGUCAGAGUUGCUCCCACUUGAAUCAGUCCCUGAUCCACCUGUGAUCAAAAGUGUCCAGCCAACUUUUGCUCAAAUGUGGUUUCAAAAGAGCCUUUUCUGUCACCAUUUAGGCAGGGGUGAAAUGCAGUCCAUUGGGUAGUGAAUAUUCUUCAUGCCAGUUCUGGAGCAGUCUGAACAGGGCUCCAUGGUUUGUUUUGCUCCAUUAAAAAGAUUUUCUUACCAGUAUUUGACAAGCGCUAUCACAUCUUCUCCAGGCAAAACAUUCCUGGUUACUUCAAACUUUCUUUUCUAACGCCAUCUUGUUGCCAUCCUCUCGAGCUGCCGUCUGCAUUGUUCUUAAAAGUGGCGCUCAAAACUGGACACAGAACUCCAUAUAAGGUCUGACUGAUGCAGAAUAAAGAGGAAAUGUUUCUUACGACUUGGAAGCUACAGUUCUAUAAAUGAAGCUAACUCAUGUACAGCUUAUGUUUAACUAAAUUCUGUUGCUCUUUACACAAGUAUUACUACCAAGACAAGUAUCGCCCAUCCUGUACCUACACAUUUGAUUCCUCUCACCUGCCACCCAUUUUAGUGUAGAACUUUGCAGUUGAUUCUGUUGAAAUUUAUUUUGGUCAUUGCAGGUCAAGUCUUCCAUUCAAUCAAGGUCAUUUUCAAUUUUAUUCUUUUCUUCCAUGGUGCUAGUUAUCCCUCCUGAUAUUGUGUCAUCUAUGAACUCAAUAAGGAACUCCUCCUCUACUUCAUUUUUUUUUUUAAUUUCAUUAAAUUUAUACGUAGCUUGAUAAUUAUUCUGAAAAAUCCCAAAACAGCUUAUGAAGAGAAUGAAACAAUAAAAUCAUAAAACAACUUUAAAUAAUUCAAAAUUAACAGUAAAACAGAACACAUUCUACACAUCUCGGUAGGCUUGUAUAAACAAAACUGUUUUUAGCAGGUGCCAAAAAGAAUACAAUGAAGGUACCUUCAUGAUGGCAAUAGGCAGGUAGUUCCACAGUGAAGGUGCUGCCACACAUAUAAGAAUGAAUGAUUUUAAAAUGUUGAAGAAGAGUAUUGGGCCUAGAUCAGAGGUCUGUGACACCUACUCAAAGCCUCUUUCCAGUUUGAUGAAGAACCAUUUUUGAAUGUCCUUUGAGUGUGGUUUUCCAAUCAGCUGCAUAUCUGCCUGAGAGUAUUAACAUCUAGGCCUCAUUUAGCCAGCAUGCCAACCAAAACAUAAUGGGGAAAAUUCACAAAUUCUUUGCUGAAAUCAAGAUAAAUUACAUCCACAGCAUUCCCACAAUCCAUUAGGCCAGUAAAAAGAGAGAAUAUUAGUCUGGGAUGAUUUAAAAAAAAUAAAUAAAACCAUACUGAGCUCUACAUUGCUUGAAACUAGCCUAAGCAACUUCUUAUAGGCAAUAUGCAAGUACUGUGCAGUCUUUUCAGAAUUAUUUGUUGUAGCUCAACUCUUCAGUCAUGUUUACAUGAUUUCUUUAAUAAUUAUUACUGCUAGAAACUGACUUUGUUUAAAGUGAGAUCCAGGAAAAAGUGCCUAACAGCAUGCAUACCAUAUGGCAAGCACACCUGUUUUGUGUACAAUGUUAUGCCGCUGAAAGGGAAGAAUAUUAUUUGAAACAUACAGUACCUGAACGUCUCUUUUUCUGAUCUUAGUUUUGCUGUUUGCAGUACAGUAUUGAUUCUUUGGCCCUUGUGCACCAAUUAGAUAAUACCCUUUGAUUGCUCUGAUUGUUGCAUUUAUUUCUAGGUAAUUGCAACUUUUACUCUCAAGUCGGGAUGGAAAGGAAAACAAAUCCAAUGAUGAAAGUUUAAAGGAAUUGGGUAGGUUUGGCCUGGAAAGAGCUGAGUGAGUUGUCCCUGACAGCACUCUUCAAAUGCCUGGAAGUCUGUCACACAGAGGAGGGAAAAGACUUGUUCUCUGCUGCCCCACAGGGCAGGAUUUAAUCUAAUGCAAUGAAGUCACAGGAAGUGUAGAGUUGCAUUAGGUGACAUGUCUUGAUGGAAAGAGAAUCACAACAAUGGAACUAAUCACCUAGAGGGGUGCUGGGUCCUCUUCUCAUUGGGGGGCUAUGUGCACACUAUACAUUUCAAGCACAUGACCUCCCCCAAAGAGUUGAUACAAUUCCCAGUGUGCUCAAUAAACUACAGUUCCCAGAAUUCUUUGGGGGAAGUCAUGUGCUUGAAAUGUAUGGUGUGUACACAGACAAGGUCUUCAAGCAGAGGCUGUUGGGGAUGCUCCAGCACUGUGUUACACUGAGCAGGAUAUUAGAUGGCUUACAAGGUUCUUUUCAUCUCUGUGAUUCAAUGAAAUUCUGCCCGUUGUGUAGAAGCAAUUUAUCUGUCAGCAGCCCCCACACUGCUGGGAGAAUGUCUGAAUGAUCCAAACACAAAGGCGGUGCACUGAUUACAUAGACCUGCAGACUGUCCCGUUCUGAGGAGCAAAUGUGCAAAGGGCAAUACGGAAAGAACCUAAGGCCUAAGUUGGUUCAGGGGAGAAAGGCCUUUCUAGUCCAGCAUUCUCUUCCGCAGAGUGGCGGGUGAGAAAGCCCACCACAAUAUGUACAAGACAUGUAAAUACGUUCACAUGCCUUGCUGAGUCAUUUAAUUUUUUCUUCUAGCCACACAGGACGGAGCUGCUUCUGGAAAGAGAGUCCCUUGUGGCUGAGAGAACUUAAAAGCUCUUCAAUUCCAAAGCAGGGUGGGAGGGGGGAGUCCAGGCUUGCUGACUGCCAAAGCCACCCACUCUUCAUCCCCUGCCAUGAGCCUUUGUAUCCAGGUGCUAGACACAUAGCAACAGCAUCCUAAUCUCAUCUGUGCUGAGAACCAUUGAGCAGCAGCUGCAUGAAAGGUAUAAGCAGCUAUUUUCCUGACUUGGGUGAGUAUUUUCCUGGCUUAGGACCAAAUUGGUGGCUGUGGCAUGCCUUUUUCUUUCUUUUUCUUUUUUUAGUUGGCUUGAGAACAACGUGAUGAGCAUGCCAUUUAAUUUUUCUGGCCUGAGUUCAUGUCGUUGAGCAAGCUGAGUGUCUAGAAGUUGUAUUGAAUGCCUUUUGUUCUCUCUCCUUUCCUCUUUGUAAUAACUCCUUUGCAAGACUGUUUGCGGGCAAAACCCAUAGGUUUUUGUUUUGGAAAGCACUCAGGAGGUGCCCGAGUGAGACAUAAUAAAAAGUUUCUUCUUCAGUCACGGUGGGAUGUAAACUACAUUUUCUUUUUAAAAAAAUAAAAAUAAAUCAAAGAUCCUUACAGAUAUUUUGCUGCCUCAAAAUAUUUGGCUACAGGCCUUGGGGUAAUAAAAUGUUGUGUUUAUGCAAAAAGACAGUGGAAUAAAGAGCAGGCAAGAGUUGAAAUUAUGAGUUGUGUCCAGUGUGGGACCUGUGGGCAAUCACUGGAGCAUUAUUUCCAUUUCAUCAACUCCCACUGUGCACCCCCAACAUUUGCCCCAGGGGGUCCCCAAAUCCUCUGGAUCUGAUUUGAAGAGUCAUGGCAGCAAGAGAGCAUAGAAGGAGAACAGAAAGCCCCACUGCACACAUGUAUGCCUGCUGCACCAGCAGAGCUGCAGCACUGGAUAAGGCCCUUUGUCAUUUGGAAAAUCUUAGCUCAGAUGUGAAUCUGACACACAUCUUGGGAAGCUUCAUGUCUCAGGUGAAUUUUACCAGGCUUCACAUGUUUAUAUACUGAAACAAUAUUUGAACCUGAGUCAAACAACUGCUGGGCUGUUUGCAGAAUCUGGGUUUGAUUUCUGGUGUUUGCUACACACACCUUUAAAACCAGGGCUUGCAACUCUGUGCUGAGCUCACUAUUUAUUUAUUAUAUUUCUAUCCCACCCUUUCUCUCAAAGGAGCCUAGGGCAGGAAACAAACAAGCAAUAAAGCAAAACAUCUUAAAGAACAAUUCCAAUACAGAUGUAGGCUGGGAAAGAUCUCUACUUAAAAGACUUGUUAAAAGAAGGUCUUCGGCUUGUGCCCAAAAGACAGCAGAGAAAUGCCUAUCUAAUAUUUAACAGGGGGGAAUUCCAAAAACCGGCCCAACUAUAUUAAUAACCAUGCAGUAAUUUGAAGUUUGCAACAGUGAAUCCAAUGGUAACAUAAUUUUCCAAAGUAAAAUGAUGUGCUUGUUUUCGAAUGGAUUAACAAGCUUGCUUCUGUAAAAAAAGUUAAAUAAUGUGUGACUUUUAAAAUACAAAUGAAUACUACUAGUGCUUGUGUAGUUUCAGCAUAGCUACCACUCUGAUGUUUGUUGGUAGAAUACAGAUUCCUGAGAUGAUGUUGGCAUUGUGAGACCAUUCUAAACCUCCUGAGCGUCUGGGCAGGGAGGGGGAUAAGUAAAUGUAUGUUUAAGAUUCUAAGAAAGCUGAAGUCUGAUGAUAACAAAGAUGUGGGAACUCUUGACACUACUCCAGCUGAAGCAAACUUUCAGCGAACUCUAGAGAGUUUCAUUCAACAGGAUGAGCUUACCAAGAAAACAGUCAUUUCUGGCUAGGUCUCCAAUACUAGCAACAGCUGUGAGUUCAGCUGGUAAACAGUUUUGUUUUCUGCUUGUCAGUGAGCUUCUAGAACAGAUGCGGAAUGCAUAAAAAAUAGGUCACUGAAAUAUAAAAAGGAAUGCACCAAGCUGAAAAGCUUGUAGUGCUCGGAUAUUGCUGCAGAGCUCGUAAUGUCAAAUUGUACACUGCAUGUGGUUGUACUAUACAUCAGACUGUCUUCAAAUGAUAGGAUUACCUAGAAAUUUCACCAAUUGCAGCAAGAAAGCAUAUCAGCAAAUAACGUAGGUGAGCUCCAAUUCUUAUGUUUUGGAAGCCACAUAGUUUCUGCCCUUUAUUAUAUUGAUCCCACACUACAAAGCAGGACAGAAAGGAAGAGGAACCAGCAACUCAUCCUCCAAGCCAUUGUUGCCCCUCCCACCCACCUCUGGGCAAAGGAACACUGGCACGGAAGUAACUACAUCACCAGCCCUUCCUAUUGGCACACAAAUGAUUCAUAGAAUUGUAGAGUUGGCGCUCAAACCCAUGACCCUGAGAUUAAGAAUCUCAUGCUGAGCAAACUGAUGGGUUGCUUAAAAUGGUACAAAUAGGCAGAGAAAGGGCUUGUAAUAGGCACAGUGUACGACCUUCAACUUCACAGCAAAACAUGUGCAAUAGUUGUGCUCGGUGGAGAAAUAAUCACUGUUUCCCUGUAACUACAGUUAUAGACUACUCAUUCUCACUCAGAAAUGUGCAUAACCUCAAAAUUAUUGUGACAAAAGUGUAUCAUACACCAAAACACCUAGGAAGGCCAACUCAAUCAUGUACAAAACAGUCUCCCAAAAUCAGCCCCCGGGGAAAUUACCCACGCCGCUUUUAUAGUGUUUUCCAUGCUUUGUUUUGUGUUUUGGAAUAUAUGGCAAUCUUACAAUAGUAUAUUUUUUAUUUCUGAUAGCAGUUAUUGACCAUUUGUGUACUUUUGAAUUUUGGUAUGUUUUGUGUCAAACAUAAUCCAGUUAGGCUCUUGACAUAUUUAUCUAAACAAAAAGGAGUAUUAGCAUGCAUGUUAGCAUGCAUGUGUGAUAUCAUUCAUUAUGAAUUCAUCUAACUAUCCAAGGGAUGGGGGGAAGUCUAUGGGUGAAUGACUUUUCCUUCAUUAUUUCCGAGAAAAGUCAUUGCUAGGGUUAUGUUUUACAUAUCAAAAUGUGCAAAGAAAAACCACGCUCUGUGAGUUUUGUUCAGAGACGUAAUAUCUAAAACAAUUCUAUGGCAUUCUAUGUCAGUGCUCAAACUCUGAUCUUUAUUUUGAGAGAUACUGCAUUACACACAAAGAGUGGGUAGGGAAACACACUUUUGUUUCAAUAAUAUCUGUUUCAAUAAUAUCUUAAGUGGAUCUCCACUUAAGAACAUAAGAAGGACAAGCCGGAUCAGGCCAGAGGCCCACCUAGUCCAACAUCUUGUUCUUAUAGUGGCCUGAGGGAAACCUGCAAGCAGGAUUUUAACCCCAAGGGCAAUCUCCCCGCCUGUGGUAUUCACAGAAGCAUAGUCAUCAGUAGCCCUUUACACAUUCACUUUUCACACAGCAAACCAAAGUUGGAAGACCAUGACAAUUAAUCCACCCAUCAAGCUGAGGAGAACAAUUUUCUUCGUUUGUCCCAUACGUUCAACUCAACACCCUUUUUCCAGGAACCUCUCCCACACAACUUUGCACGCAGGUACAUCCUUACUCGGAAAAUUGCUGGUGUGCACCAGUCUACACCGGUGAGGGAAAAGGCAGCCUAAAUGGUAGAGAUAGUUCCCGGCUCUCCAUAUAUACAGCCUGCUGGAUAUUAGCCCUGCUGCUAUAUAUAUAUGACCACAUGAAGGGCUCUGACAGUGUCAUCUGACCUGACCUGGGUCUACCAAUGAUGACUCAGAGGAGAGACAAAAGGAUCUGCAGAAAGUGAUCUGUGGUGGCUGGUGCCCAUUGUGACUGGCAGGACAGGAGGCAGGGAGACCAACGGUAGACGCAUGACAAACAGAGUCACCCUCUGACUGGUGGUAAGUCAAAAGGCAGCCAAGUGGAAGGAAUGGGGGUCAGGCUGAGGUUUGUGGGGCACUGCCCCAAUUGCCCUAAGAGACUAGCUUAAUGACCACAACAGAGGCACCAAAUUAAAAAUUCUAAAAUGUCCUUCCUAAUCCAGUUCUCUUUUUCAAUCCAUGUGGCUGUUUGUCAUCUAUACAUACAGAAAUUGGGGUGGUGGUGGAGGAAUUGGGUUGGAUAUAGUCCCUCCCUGCUCCGCCCCUCUUCUCACCAAGGAUACAAAACACAGGUAGCUGAUGCACCAUGGAGCCCCUAAUCAAUGGCCUGCGUUAAAAAGUGAAAUGCUGUAAUAAAACAUUAUUAAGCUACAUUAAAAAGCAGGUUGUCAAAUGAAAAUGCUCACUAAAAACUAUUGGCAAACGGAUCUAUAAAAGGCAUUGGACUAGGAAAACUAGCCCUCCAAAAGGGGAAAUUUUUCAUAUGACGGCGAUGUUGUCUGUGGUCACAAUAGUGAAAGAGCUCCAUCUGCUGGCAGAGGUUAGAAAGCUCUUUUCAAUGUAUCGGUUCCUCUACCCCCCACACCACGUUUAUAAAUGUCUUCUCAACUUAUGUGCAUGAUUUUAUUUCACAAAAAAUACUUUUACUGCAAGAGAGGUUGGAGGAGGCACUAUAUAAAGUUAUCAUUAGACAAAUUGGAUAGCUUGUAUUAUACCUAACUUCAUGCAGUGGAACUGGCAUUUCAAAUGGGCCUGUAUUUUCUCACUAGAAUUGCCGCCCUUUUGUAUAGAUCAUGACAAACCUACUUAUUAUAUGGAAAAAAAUUGCCUUUGAAAGCCAAGCAACAUGAAGUCAAAGCACUAUACAGUUUGCUUC